AACAACAGCAAUAGGCUAUAAUUCAAAAUAUAACAAUGUGAUAAAACCUUUCAGUGUUAUUCAACGAUGUUUAAACUGAACUAUAAUUUUUUUUUUUAAUUACACAGACUUAUUUACUAUUUGUCUGAAAAAUAAAAUGUAUAAAUGCAUGCAAAAUGAAAUAUAAACAUACAAAAGUUAGUCAAAUUGAGAAUCAAAGUUGCUAUUAUUUAUAUACUCAAAAGUUAGCGUUACACGACUUAAAUCUUUUACAAAAUUAUUAUUAUUAUUGUUACAUUCUUCAGUGCUUCACUGAAAUCGCGCACUGGACCUUUAAGAUAACUUGAAUAUGGCGCGGUGGCGUUGCUGUGGUUACCAGAUUCCGUGGCAUUCUAAAAAAGAAUGUGUUCCAAAAACACGUCAGACGGAGAGAAACUGCAGGAAGUGUCUGACCAUCGCUGACAUUAGCGGUAUGUAAAUAUUUCUCUAAAAGUAUCGUUUUACAUUAUUAUAUAUGGUUGUUUCGGCGUGCUUUUGCUGAAGGAGACUAAAGAUUUUAGUGUUUCUCUCGGUCAUAUUGUUUCAGAUUAUAUUACUUUUUCCACAUCUUUUUUCGGUCUGACUGUAGAUUGUACUGAAUGCUGGUUGGAAUUGCAGAUUGCUAUAUUGUCGACUUAUAUAUAAAUAUGUAUGUAUGUAUGUAUGUAUGUAUGUAUGUAUGUAUUUUUUCUAGUUUGACAGUUUUCUAGUUUUUCUAAUUUUAACAUUUGCAGAUUGGUAUUUGCCAUAUCUUUCGAUAAAUUGAUGUUAUAAUGGAUUUGUAUGCGUUGAGCUUUAACACAUAUUGCAAAUUACUGUAAGUCUAGAUUGUUUGGCUAUAUUAUUAUGCAUUUGUAAUUUACUGUAUGCUGUUGGCCUGUUCAACAUUUGUAGCUUUUAAUUGUUAUUCGUUUUAUUUACAGUUGUAAUAAUUAUAAACAGAUUUAUCUAUUCAAAGUUUAUAGGUUGUCAUCUUGUAUUUAUUUAUAGCUGUGAAACAUUAUUUGUUAGUGUUAGAACAGAACCAGUCUAGAGACGAUGGUAGACAAAACUUUCAAAGAAUGGUAUUUAGAUUAAUUAAUGACUUGAUAUCUUGUUCUAUUGAUUUUGCAGAUCGGAAUGGAUAGAGAAAAAAAAAGGAAUUACACACCUUACCAAUGACUGGAAAUUGAUGGUCAGGAUUUUUUAUUUGUUUUUAAAAUCCUUUCAAGAUGAAGCAGAUGUUGGUUGGUAUAGAUAGUUAGGCCUUGUCUGUCAUCAGGUUUUCCUUUUUCAGGUAAUGGAGAGUGAGCAGGCACAAGAGGGAGGCUCACAAGAGCAUUGAUGGACAUUUAUGUGAAACAGAGCAGGUAGGGCUCUGUUGGUGCUGUCUUUGUCUUUUGCAGGUUGGAAUAGAGCAGAAGACGGAGACUCACAAGUGGAACGAACAGUGGAGAUGUACUUGAAGACCUGGAGCAAACAGAUUGGCAUGGAGCAUGUGGUGAAACAGGGAAACACACCUUAAUAAUGACAAGCACAUCGUAAUUUUAAAUUAUAUGCUGUAAUUUUUACAGAAGUCGAGUGGAGAAACUAGGGAAUCACACAGGAAUGAUAAGAAACUGAUGUCAGGCAUCAACUAUCUAUGUCCUUCCAACAAGAUGAAAGGACAGCAGACAUCUUUCAAGAGGAAGAGGGUGGAGGUGGGCUUAGAUAGUUAGAUGUUUUGACUGUGGCAGGUGUUUCUUUUUCAGGUAAUGCACACACAACAUGCAAAAGAAGGAAACUCAUAAGAGCAUCAGUGGAGAUUUAUCUGAAGAACACUGGAGAACAGCUUGUGCAUUGCUGAAGAUCAGCCAGCAUGUAGAGCUCUGUUAGUCUUGUUUUGUCUUUUGCAGAUUAAGCUGGGGCAUGUGGAAAAAUAGGAAUCACACCUCAGCAAUGGCUGCAAACUGAUGAUCAAAUGAGGCAUUUCCCGGAUGGAUGCAUGGGUGGAUGGAUGGAUGGAUGGAUGGAUAAAUAGAUGCCCCUCCAACCGGAAGGUGGUGGUGGUGGGCUUAGAUAGUUAGAUCUCUUGUUUUUGGCAGGUGUUUCUUUUUCAGGUAAUGCAGACACAACAUGUAAAAGGAGGAAACUCAUAAGAGCAUCAGUGGAGAUUUAUCUGAAGAACACUGGAGAACAGCUUGUGCAUUGCUGAAGAUCAGACAGCAUGUAGAGCUCUGUUAGUCUUGUUUUUGUCUUUUACAGAUUAAGCUAGGGCAUGUGGAGAAAUGGAAAUCACACCUCAGCUAUGACUGCAAACUGAUGGUCUAGUCAGUUAUUUCCUGGAUGGAUGGAUGGAUGGAUAAAUAGAUGCCCUUCCAAGAGGAAGGGGGUGGAGGAGGGCAUAGAUUGAUAGAUAUAUGUCUUGUAUGCGGCAGAUGUUUCUUUUUCAGGUAAUGCACACACAACAUACAAAAGUAGGAAACACACAAAAGCGUCAGUGUAGAUUUAUCUGAAGAACACUGGAGAACAUGUUGUUUAUUGCUGUAGAUCAGACAGCAUGUAGAGCUCAUGAGAGUCUGUUUUUGUCUUUUACAGAUUAGACUGGGGCAUGUGGAGAAAUGGAAAUCACACCUCAGCAAUGACUGCAAAUAGAUGAUCAAAUGAGGCAUUUCACAGAUGGAUGGAUGGAUGAAUAGAUGCCCUUCUAAGAGGAAGGGGGUGGAGGAGGGCAUAGAUAGUUAGAUAGAUGUCUUGUAUGCGGCAGAUGUUUUUUUUUCAGGUAAAGCACACACAACAUGCAAAAGGAGGAAACUCAUAAGAGCAUCAGUGAAGAUUUAUCUGAAGAACACUGGAGAACAGCUUGUGCAUUGCUGGAGCUCAGAAAGCACGUAGAGCCCUGUUAGUCUUGUUUUUGUCUUUUACAGAUUAAACUGGGGCAUGUGGAGAAAUGGGAAUCACACCUCAGCAAUGACUGCAAACUGAUGAUCAAAUGAGGCAUUUCCCAGAUGGAUGGAUGGAUGGAUGGAUAAAUAGAUGCCUUUCCAACAGGAAGGGGGUGGUGGUGGGCUUAGAUAGAUAGAUCUUUUGUUUUUGGCAGGUGUUUCUUUUUCAGGUAAUGCAGACACAACAUGCAAAAGAAGGAAACUCACAAGAACAUCAGUGCAGAUUUAUUUGAAGAACACUGGAGAACAUGUUGUUUAUUGCUGUAGAUCAGCCAGCAUGUAGAGCUCUGUUAGUCUUGUUUUGUCUUUUGCAGAUUAGACUGGGGCAUGUGGAGAAAUGGGAAUCACACCUCAGCAAUGACUGCAAACUGAUGAUCAAAUGAGGUAUUUCCCGGAUGGAUAUAUGGAUGGAUGAAUGAAUGGAUGAUAAAUAUAUGUCCUUCCAAUAGGAAGGGGUGGUGGUGGGCUUAGAUAGUUAGAUAGAUGUCUUGUUUGUGGCAGGUGUUUCUUUUUCAGGUAAUGGACACACAACAUGCAAAAGGAGGAAACUCAGAGCAUCAUUGGAGAUUUAUCUGAAGAACACUGGAGAACAGUGUGUGCAUUGCUGGAGCUCAGAAAGCAUGUAGAGCUCUGUUAGUCUUGUUUUUGUCUUUUAGAGAUUAAACUGGGGCAUGCGGAGAAAUGGGAAUCACACCUCAGCAAUGACUGCAAACUGAUGAUCAAAUGAGGCAUUUCCCAGAUGGAUCGAUGGAUGGAUGUAUGGAUGGAUGAAUAGAUGCCUUUCCAACAGGAAGGGGGUGGUGGUGGGAUUAGAUAGUUAGAUCUCUUGUUUUUGGCAGGUGUUUCUUUUUCAGGUAAUGCAGACACAACAUGCAAAAGAAGGAA